rnacentral:rRNA from 1 species
GUAGUCCACGCCGUAAACGGUGGGCGCUAGUUGUGCGAACCUGCCACGGUUUGUGCGACGCAGCUAACGCAUUAAGCGCCCCGCCUGGGGAGUACGAUCGCAAGAUUAAAACUCAAAGGAAUUGACGGGGCCCCGCACAAGCAGCGGAGCAUGCGGCUUAAUUCGACGCAACGCGAAGAACCUUACCAAGGCUUGACAUAUACAGGAAUAUGGCAGAGAUGUCAUAGCCGCAAGGUCUGUAUACAGGUGGUGCAUGGUUGUCGUCAGCUCGUGUCGUGAGAUGUUGGGUUAAGUCCCGCAACGAGCGCAACCCUCGUUCUGUGUUGCCAGCAUUUAGUUGGGGACUCACAGGAGACUGCCGGGGUUAACUCGGAGGAAGGUGGGGAUGACGUCAAAUCAUCAUGCCCCUUAUGUCUUGGGCUGCACGCAUGCUACAAUGGCUGGUACAAACGGCUGCAAUACCGCAAGGUGGAGCGAAUCCGAGAAAGCCAGUCUCAGUUCGGAUUGGGGUCUGCAACUCGACCCCAUGAAGUCGGAGUUGCUAGUAAUCGUAGAUCAGCAACGCUACGGUGAAUACGUUCCCGGGGCUUGUACACACACGCCCGUCACAUCACGAAAGUCGGUAACACCACAAAGUCAGUGGCCCAACCGCAAGGAGGGAGCUGCCAAAGGUG